UUGGGGAAGGUUAUUACCUUAUUGCCACUGUACCACCCUGACCACGCAACAGCAGAUGUUAAGCAGGAUCAGGCCUUAUUAGAACUUGGAUGGGAGACCACCGGGAAUUCUAGAUACAUCUCCAUC
rnacentral:rRNA from 1 species